rnacentral:lncRNA from 1 species
UCUAUGGAUGAAAUUUUAUAAAUUAAUGGUUAUAGUUGUCAUUAAUAUGUGUUGUAAAUCGUAACUUGAUCUAACGGAUGAAUUCAGGGUUAUUGAGGUUUAAAUGGGUCAAGGUCUCAGAAAGUAGAAUUUUAGGUCUAGUGAGGGCUUUAAAGAUUUCUUGCAAUCUAUUUGUUGGAUUGGAGUGGAAUUUGUAAGUGAAGAUAAAAGACUUAUUUUUCUAUAUGUAUGAAAAUUUUGAGAUCAAUCCAAUAGUAAAAAAGGAAGAUAUUGACUCUAAAAGAUUGACAUCAAGGUUGGAGAAGGAGGCUGACUAAUAUCCGAGCACGUUUUUGAGGUUAUCAUCUAUUUGGUAAUUUUGAUCAUUUUUAAAUAUUUUGUACUUACUUUGAACAUAGUUUUUAAGAAGUGUGUAAAAUAUGAGUUAAGAUCAAAAGUUCAUUAAUUAGUUAUUGAGGUUUAAAUCUGUUGUAGAAAUUAUUAGGAUUUUAUGAGGGUUUUUUUUAGAGUUUGGUUGAAGUUAAAUUUAGGAUUUGGUUUAGGAUGUAGGAUUUUUUUAGGAUUUGGUUAGGAUUUUAUUUAGGAUUUAGGAUUUAAUUAGGAUUUAAUUAAAGAUUAGAGUUUGGUUAGGAUUUUAUUUAAGAUUUUAGGUUUAAUUAGGAUUUAAUUAAGGAUUAGAGUUUGGUUUAGGAUUUAGGAUUUAGGAUUUGGUUUAAGAUUUAAGGUUUGGUUAGGAUUUGAUUACGAUUUGAUUUAGGAUUUAGGAUUUU